UACGAGGGGUGCAAGCGUUGUCCGGAAUCAUUGGGCGUAAAGCGCAUGUAGGCGGCCAAGCAGGUCGGAUGUGAAAGCCCUCGGCUCAACCAAGGAAGUGCAUUCGAAACCGCAUGGCUCGAGUCCCGGAGAGGAUGGUGGAAUUCUCGGUGUAGAGGUGAAAUUCGUAGAUAUCGAGAGGAACACCCGGCGGCGAAGGCGGCCAUCUGGACGAGGACUGACGCUGAGAUGCGAAAGCGUGGGGAGCAAACAGG
rnacentral:rRNA from 1 species